GAGAGUUAAACAGUACGUGAAAUUGUUGAAAGGGAAACGAUUGAAGCCAGUCGUACCUAUGGGUAAUCAGCCUUUUGGGUGUGAUUUUGUGGAGCGUGAGGAGUUAAACGCCUUCAUGCCUGCAUAUUCGUGCACUUUGGGUGUACUUGCCCGUGUGUAAGUUAACAUCAAUUUUGGUGGUCAUAAAAUGGCUGGAGGAAUGUAGCUUCGAUCUUGUAUUGAAGUGUUAUAGCCUUCGGUAGAUGUGACGAUCGGGAUUGAGGAUUGCAACGGAUACCCUUUGGGGCUACCUGUCUGAUCUCUGAUUGUUGCUCUGGUGCCGAAAGCUUGCUUACGGUUAUCAAAGUCGAUGGUCAAUAGGUUAGAAUGGGUUAAAUUCGUUAAGGAUGUUGACGUAAUGGCUUUAAACGA
rnacentral:rRNA from 1 species